rnacentral:rRNA from 1 species
AUUGAACGCUGGCGGCAUGCUUUACACAUGCAAGUCGGACGGCAGCACAGAGAAGCUUGCUUCUUGGGUGGCGAGUGGCGAACGGGUGAGUAAUAUAUCGGAACGUACCGAGUAAUGGGGGAUAACUAAUCGAAAGAUUAGCAAAUACCGCAUAUUCUCUGAGGAGGAAAGCAGGGGACCUUCGGGCCUUGCGUUAUUCGAGCGGCCGAUAUCUGAUUAGCUAGUUGGUGGGGUAAAGGCCUACCAAGGCGACGAUCAGUAGCGGGUCUGAGAGGAUGAUCCGCCACACUGGGACUGAGACACGGCCCAGACUCCUACGGGAGGCAGCAGUGGGGAAUUUUGGACAAUGGGCGCAAGCCUGAUCCAGCCAUGCCGCGUGUCUGAAGAAGGCCUUCGGGUUGUAAAGGACUUUUGUCAGGGAAGAAAAGGCUGUUGCUAAUAUCGACAGCUGAUGACGGUACCUGAAGAAUAAGCACCGGCUAACUACGUG